GGUGGCUCAGUGGUAGAGCGCUUGCCUUGCAUGCCAGAGACCCUGGGUUCGUUCCUCAGCACCA
rnacentral:tRNA from 1 species